rnacentral:rRNA from 1 species
UACGAAGGGGGCUAGCGUUGCCCGGAAUCACUGGGCGUAAAGCGCACGUAGGCGGCUUCUUAAGUCAGGGGUGAAAUCCUGGAGCUCAACUCCAGAACUGCCUUUGAUACUGAGGAGCUUGAGUCCGGGAGAGGUGAGUGGAACUGCGAGUGUAGAGGUGAAAUUCGUAGAUAUUCGCAAGAACACCAGUGGCGAAGGCGGCUCCCUGGCCCGGUACUGACGCUGAGGUGCGAAAGCGUGGGGAGCAAACAGG